rnacentral:rRNA from 1 species
GUGGGGAAUAUUGGACAAUGGGCGAAAGCCUGAUCCAGCCAUGCCGCGUGUGUGAAGAAGGUCUUCGGAUUGUAAAGCACUUUAAGUUGGGAGGAAGGGCAGUAAGUUAAUACCUUGCUGUUUUGACGUUACCGACAGAAUAAGCACCGGCUAACUUCGUGCCAGCAGCCGCGGUAAUACGAAGGGUGCAAGCGUUAAUCGGAAUUACUGGGCGUAAAGCGCGCGUAGGUGGUGUUGUAAGUUGGAGGUGAAAUCCCCGGGCUCAACCUGGGAACUGCCUCCAAAACUGCAUGACUAGAGUACGGUAGAGGGUAGUGGAAUUUCCUGUGUAGCGGUGAAAUGCGUAGAUAUAGGAAGGAACACCAGUGGCGAAGGCGACUACCUGGACUGAUACUGACACUGAGGUGCGAAAGCGUGGGGAGCAAACAGGAUUAGAUACCCGAGUAGUCC